AGCCAAAGGUUUUGCAUUGGGUAGAUCCUGGGUGAUCCCACCUGCCUGCUCCCAGCUGGAGGAAGCCAGACUGGCUGCAGCUGGCUAAGACAUUCCAGCCUCUUAAUCAUUAAUCACAAGCGUGAUCAUUUGCCUUCAUUUGAUUUUACUUGAUAUCCAUCAUUACAUCAGUCUGGUCACAGUUCACUGAAGCAAGUCCUGAUUUUUGGAGGAUUUAGGGGAGGGGAGAGAAGUGAGGGGAGUGUGAUAAGGGGACACAGUGCUGGAAGAAGCAGGAGAGAUGGUUGGUGUCCUGUCCAUCACAUCCACACUCAGUGAGGACUGAACACCACACAUUGCUGGAGCUGCCUUUGGUGUGGGAGUCCCAGGCAUCCUGCCCAAAGCCAGGCAGGCUGGCUGCCUUGCCCAGGGGCUGUAAGCUGUGCUUGUCACGUGUGUCAGAAGGUGAAUGGGCCUCUGUCCCAUGUGGGAGAGGUCGGUGCUCCCCUGGGAGGAGGUUUUGUGGUUUUGCCCCUCGCUCUUGGGUGAGGUUCCCUGGGAAUGGAUGUUCCUUUGGGUGCAGCAUCUCCAAAGCCCUUUAUCAGCAGAUGUGUUUUUGGGACUCCACUUGCUGUGUUGGCCAAACUCUCCAGCAUGGAUUAGGAGGGGAUGGAGUGAGGCACAGCUUUGGGUACACUGGUGCAUCCAGGUCCCCACUGCUGCCCUGACCAGCAUGGGCAGGAGGAGAUGCUGGCUCAGCUUUAAACACUGGGGUUUUGUCAGUGUAAUUUGGCACUGACAGGUGUGUUGGGAACAGGUGACAAGCAGUGACACCAAAUCCAUUUGGCUUGGUGCCGCCUUCCUCACAAACCUUGCUGGCACUGCCACAGCAGCAGGGCAGGAUGGGGAGGAUGGAUCUGGGGUCGCUUGGCUUGGCAGUGUUGCCUUGGGGGUGAAGCUGUGGGGCAGCAGCUCCAGCUGGGAAGCAGGAGUGAUGCCAUCAGGGGGAGAGGGUGAGAAACACAGCCAGGAUUUUCCUCAGCUGUAUGUAGGAGAUGAGGCAGGGGUUAACCAGCCCAGGUGUCCAGCAGGAACAACCCAGAUUAACAGCACUUUCACGGUCUGGUGUUACAGCAGCCCUCACUUAAAUUAACCCGAGGCUUUUGUAGCAGCCAGGUGGAGCUGCUGGAGCCACACGCGGUCACCCUGGGCCAUCCCAGGGGCCCUUCCCGGGCGGUUCUGCAGCCUCUGCCUCAGUUUUCCCCUUGGAGCUUCUGAGCCUUGAUUUUCCCUGUGAAUUUUGUCAAGCCCUUUUAGCUAAACUGAUCACGGAGCUGGGAUGUUGGAAUAUAGGUAUAAAAACAGUUUCUUAGUAGCUGAUCUGCAGGCAGGGGUUCUGGGAAGUCGGAUCUUGGGAAAGCUGGGAGUCCUGGGAAGGCUGAGGAUCCUGCAAAUACUGAGAGGGCUGGGGGUGCAUGGAAGGUUUGGGGUCCUGGGAGGGCUGGGACCCUCUGGACCACAGCUCCCAGGCUGGGGAGCUCACGGUAGGGUGGACUAUGGUGAACAUGGGCUAGAGUCCCCGCACAGGGAGUGUAGCCUCUCCCAGCGAGCAGGAGGAGGGAAACUGAGGCAGGAGAUGCAAUUCCCGCCCCAUGGAUUCCCUUGCUUCCCCUCCCGGAGGCCCGAGCAAGGUGGCUCGGCAGCCCCGGGCCCCCCGGCUGUGCCCGGGUCCCUCAGGGCGCCUUUGUGCCACGGACGCCGCAGCAGCGCCACUGCUGACUCAGGGAUUCUUCCCGGGAGCCGCCGUGGGAGCCCCGUGACCCAUCGGAGGGGGGACCCUGCGAGGGCAGCGAGCGGCGGCGAAGCACCGAGGCGACAGCUCUGCGGAGAGACAGCCGGAGUUACUCCGUGGUGGGGCCGAGGGACGGAGGGGACACUCCAGCCGAGCAGGAGCCGCCGCCAUGAGCUCCCGGCACUUCCCGGCCCGGACCGUGCUCUUUGAGAAGGAAUCCAACGGUGUCACGUACCGUGUGCCUGCCCUGCUCUACCUGCCCUGCGUGGCCAAGCUGCUGGCAUUCGCCGAGGAGCGGCUCAGCGCCGACGAUGCCCACGCCAACCUGCUGGUGCUGCGCCGCGGAACCAUCUACGGCAGCUACGUGGAGUGGGAAGACAUGCGUGUGCUGGAGACAGCAACGCUGCAGCACCAUCGGUCAAUGAACCCCUGCCCACUCUACGAUGAGUUCACAGGCACCCUCUUCCUCUUCUUCAUCACGGUGCUGGGCAGGACGCCUGAAGCCUACCAGAUUGUCACUGGCCAAAACGUCACCCGCCUCUGCUGUGUCACCAGUGCUGACCAGGGCCUGAGCUGGAGCACAGCCACAGACCUGACACAGCAGGUCAUUGGCGCAACCAUCAAAGACUGGGCGACGUUCGCGCUGGGCCCUGGGCACGGGAUCCAGCUGCGUUCUGGCCGGCUGCUGGUGCCAGCCUACAGCUACCACAUCGACUGCAAGGAGUGCUUUGGGCAGCUCUGCAAGACCACCCCACACUCAUUCGCCUUCUAUAGCGACGACCACGGCCGCGGCUGGCGCUUCGGGGAGUUCAUCCCCAACCUGCAGACAGGCGAGUGCCAGCUGGUCUCAGUGGAUGAGGAGGAUGGAUCCAAUGUCCUCUACUGCAACGCCCGCAGCCCCUUGGGCUUCAGGGUCCAGGCAUUCAGCACAGAUGAUGGGGCCGUUUUCCAUGGGGGGCAGCUGGUCCAGCGGCUGGUGGAGCCCCCCCAUGGCUGUCAUGGCAGUGUCAUUGGCUUCCCUGCACCAUUGGUGUAUGUUCCCACUGCCUCCCGGGACAAUGGGAUGCCCCUCCAGGGCUCAGCUCGCCCGCUGCUCCCUGGAGUGCUCCGGAGGCUUGCAGCGGGAGGAGGUGCUGAGCUGCCCACGGGCAACCACCAUGAGCCCAAUAAGGAUUGUCCUACCCCAGGGCAUCACAAUGAUGCCCACAGUGUCACCUUGGUCCAGGGGGACUCUGCAGCAACUCCCAGCCCCACUCCCUUCUUCCAAGCACCAACAUGGAUCCUCUACUCGCACCCCACCAGCUCCAUGUCGCGGGUCAACAUGGGGGUUCACCUGAGCACCUUCCCCAGGGAUGCUGAGAGCUGGACAGAGCCCUGGGUCAUCUACGAGGGCCCGAGCGCUUACUCGGACCUGGCUUACCUGGAGCUGCCCUACAGGGACGCGCCGGUGGCCGGCGGCACGGCCAUCGCCUUCGCCUGCCUCUACGAGAACGGGAUGAGAUCUCCCUAUGAGCAGAUCUCCUUCAGCAUGUUCACACUGCACGACGUGCUCCAGAACAUCCCCCUGACUGCUGCUCCCCGCAGCCACCGCAGGAAGAGGAGGAGAAGGAGCUGCCUCAUGUCCUAGAGCCCGCCCAGGCCAGCUCCCCCCACCACCCCAGUGCUGCAUCCUGGAGCAUCAACCCAAGAGCUGGGUCCUGCCACCAUCCAGCAUGGCCACAUCGCACAGAGCCAGGUGACACCUGGGGUGACGCCUCCUCCGAGCAGCAGCCUCCUGGCACCACCAUGG